rnacentral:rRNA from 1 species
GAUGAACGCUAGCUACAGGCUUAACACAUGCAAGUCGAGGGGAAACGAUAUUGGAAGCUUGCUUCCGAUAGGCGUCGACCGGCGCACGGGUGAGUAACGCGUAUCCAACCUGCCCAUCACUUGGGAAUAACCUUGCGAAAGUAAGACUAAUGCCCAAUGACAUUUAUAGAAGGCAUCUGAAAUGAAUUAAAGAUUUAUCGGUGAUGGAUGGGGAUGCGUCUGAUUAGCUUGUUGGCGGGGUAACGGCCCACCAAGGCGACGAUCAGUAGGGGUUCUGAGAGGAAGGUCCCCCCACAUUGGAACUGAGACACGGUCCAAACUCCUACGGGAGGCAGCAGUGAGGAAUAUUGGGUCAAUGGGCGAAGCCUGAACCAGCCAAGUAGCGUGAGGGAUGACUGCCCUAU